CAAUAGAUAAAAUUAUACAUAGAAGAUGAGCAUCCCCGAAAGUAAUAUGGGAGUGAUAUUCGAUGGGUGCUCAUUUACUUGAUCUUUUAAGAUAAUCAAUAGGGAGGGGGUUUUAGUCGGUAGGCGAGACAUUGUAUCUUUGCGAUGCAAAUAUCAUCGAAUCCGGCACUCCCUAGGGUACGGGCCUUAGGGAGUCUUUUGAAGAUUUCCCCCUACCCUCGUAAAA
rfam:Cyphomyrmex costatus contig11325, whole genome shotgun sequence.